ACUAAUAUUAACAUCGUGUCAAGGACAACGACGUCGGUCACAAUCGAGUUCACCGUGUAUCUUUUAUCACGGUUCGACUAUCGCAGGGCAGAGAGAGAGAGAA